rnacentral:rRNA from 1 species
UACGGGGGGAGCAAGCGUUGUUCGGAUUUACUGGGCGUAAAGGGCGCGUAGGCGGCCUCUGCAAGUCGACUGUGAAAUCUCCGGGCUUAACCCGGAACGGUCAGCCGAUACUGCAGGGCUAGAGUGCAGAAGGGGCAACUGGAAUUCUCAGUGUAGCGGUGAAAUGCGUAGAUAUCGAGAGGAACACCUGCGGCGAAGGCGGGUUGCUGGGCUGACACUGACGCUGAGGCGCGAAAGCUAGGGGAGCGAACGGG